CAACUAGUAAGCUUUUUCUCUGCAUAGGUUUUGAUAAAUCUUCCCCACUGUUCCCAUUAGCAGGAGUUCUGCAGGACCAGCUUUUGUGUGGAAAUCUUGGCCCAUUGUCUGCCAGGAUAUCAUCAAUGCUCAGUCUCCUCCUCUACACCAUAAAUCCAUUGCUUCUGAGAUGGCGGCUUAUUAACCAGCGAUUCCAUCUGGAAGACAUCUUAAGAACUGAAACCCAGAAAGUUCAUAGCCAGAGAAGCAGACGACUUCUAUCUCCUCAGCCACAGAAUACCAGAUCUUGUCAUUCUGAGAGGAAAAAGAGGAAUUACAUUAUAAACCACAGAUAACUGUAGGGGGAAUAACAUGAAAGACAAAUCUAUAUCUAUCUAUCUGUCUGUCUGUCUGUCUGUCUAUCUAUCUAUCUUAUAUCUAUCUAUCUCAUAUCUAUCUAUCUAUCUUAAAUCUAUCUCAUAUCUAUCUAUCUACCUAUCUUA